AGAAAUACUUGGCAGAGGAGAUACCAUGGUCAUGAAGGUCGUUUUUCAAGGGCAAGGCUUAUCCAUUGCACUUUCAAUGUGCUGAACCCUGUGAUUUCUCUAAAUGUGGGAAACGUGCCUGAAUAAUUUGUGGUAGCAGGGGACUGUGUUCACUUUGUUUUCCU